GACGAACGCUGGCGGCGUGCUUAACACAUGCAAGUCGAACGGAAAGGCCCUGCUUUUGUGGGGUGCUCGAGUGGCGAACGGGUGAGUAACACGUGAGUAACCUGCCCUUGACUUUGGGAUAACUUCAGGAAACUGGGGCUAAUAACGGAUAGGAGCUCCUGCUGCAUGGUGGGGGUUGGAAAGUUACGGCGGUUGGGGAUGGACUCGCGGCUUAUCAGCUUGUUGGUGGGGUAGUGGCUUACCAAGGCUUUGACGGGUAGCCGGCCUGAGAGGGUGACCGGCCACAUUGGGACUGAGAUACGGCCCAGACUCCUACGGGAGGCAGCAGUGGGGAAUAUUGCACAAUGGGCGGAAGCCUGAUGCAGCAACGCCGCGUGCGGGAUGACGGCCUUCGGGUUGUAAACCGCUUUCGCCUGUGACGAAGCGUGAGUGACGGUAAUGGGUAAAGAAGCACCGGCUAACUACGUG
rnacentral:rRNA from 1 species